rnacentral:rRNA from 1 species
CUAAUACAUGCAAGUCGAACGGUGGUUUAUUUUGUAGUAAUACGAAGUGAUCAUAGUGGCGAACGGGUGAGUAACGCGUUGGUGAUCUGCCUCGAAGUGUGGAAUAACGUUCCGAAAGGAACGCUAAUACCGCAUGUGCUCUCGAUUUUUAGAAAGUUGAGAGUAAAGGAUUUAUUCGCUUCGAGAGGAGCCUGCGUCCCAUCAGCUAGUUGGUAGGGUAAUAGCCUACCAAGGCUUUGACGGGUAGGGGACCUGAGAGUGUGGCCCCCCACAAUGGAACUGAAACACGGUCCAUACACCUACGGGUGGCAGCAGUAGGGAAUAUUAGAAAUGGACGAAAGUCUGAUCUAGCGACACCGCGUGUGCGAUGAAGGCCUUCGGGUUGUAAAGCACUUUUUGGAAGGAAUAGGAAGGAAGGUACUUCCAGAAUAAGUCUCGGCUAACUACGUGCCAGCAGCCGCGGUAACACGUAGGAGGCAAACGUUAUCCGGAUUUACUGGGCGUAAAGCGCGUGUAGGUGGUUCUGUAAGUAGGGCGUGAAAGCUCCCGGCUCAACUGGGAGAGGCCGUUCUAAACUGCAGAGCUAGAGGAUGGUAGAGGGAGGUGGAAUUCCAGGUGUAGCGGUGGAAUGCGCAGAUAUCUGGAGGAACACCAGUGGCGAAGGCGGCCUCCUGGACCAUUCCUGACACUCAGACGCGAAAGCUAGGGUAGCAAACGGGAUUAGAGACCCCGGUAGUCCUAGCCCUAAACGAUGUAGACUAGACGUCGGCGGUGUAAAAACUGUCGGUGUCCAAGCUAACGCGAUAAGUCUACCGCCUGGGGACUACGGCCGCAAGGUUAAAACUCAAAGGAA